AUGGCCACAUUGUGUUGGAACACCAAUUCCUGUAUGAUCACCAAAGUUAAGCAAUGUUGAGUCUGGUCAGUACCUCGGUGACCACUUGGGAAUACCAGGUGCUGUAAG